AUUGAACGUUGGCGGCAUGCCUUACACAUGCAAGUCGAACGGCAGCACGGGGCAACCUGGUGGCGAGUGGCGAACGGGUGAGUAAUGCAUCGGAACGUGCCAUUGAGUGGGGGAUAACGUAGCGAAAGUUGCGCUAAUACCGCAUAUUCUGUGAGCAGGAAAGCAGGGGACCGCAAGGCCUUGCGCUCUUUGAGCGGCCGAUGUCAGAUUAGCUAGUUGGUGAGGUAACGGCUUACCAAGGCGACGAUCUGUAGCGGGUCUGAGAGGAUGAUCCGCCACACUGGAACUGAGACACGGUCCAGACUCCUACGGAGGCAGCAGUGGGGAAUUUUGGACAAUGGGCGCAAGCCUGAUCCAGCCAUGCCGCGUGAGUGAAGAAGG
rnacentral:rRNA from 1 species